rnacentral:rRNA from 1 species
GUCGAGCGGUAGCACAGAGAGCUUGCUCUCGGGUGACGAGCGGCGGACGGGUGAGUAAUGUCUGGGAAACUGCCUGAUGGAGGGGGAUAACUACUGGAAACGGUAGCUAAUACCGCAUAACGUCGCAAGACCAAAGUGGGGGACCUUCGGGCCUCAUGCCAUCAGAUGCGCCCAGAUGGGAUUAGCUAGUAGGUGGGGUAAUGGCUCACCUAGGCGACGAUCCCUAGCUGGUCUGAGAGGAUGACCAGCCACACUGGAACUGAGACACGGUCCAGACUCCUACGGGAGGCAGCAGUGGGGAAUAUUGCACAAUGGGCGCAAGCCUGAUGCAGCCAUGCCGCGUGUAUGAAGAAGGCCUUCGGGUUGUAAAGUACUUUCAGCGAGGAGGAAGGCAUUAAGGUUAAUAACCUUGGUGAUUGACGUUACUCGCAGAAGAAGCACCGGCUAACUCCGUGCCAGCAGCCGCGGUAAUACGGAGGGUGCAAGCGUUAAUCGGAAUUACUGGGCGUAAAGCGCACGCAGGCGGUCUGUCAAGUCGGAUGUGAAAUCCCCGGGCUCAACCUGGGAACUGCAUUCGAAACUGGCAGGCUAGAGUCUUGUAGAGGGGGGUAGAAUUCCAGGUGUAGCGGUGAAAUGCGUAGAGAUCUGGAGGAAUACCGGUGGCGAAGGCGGCCCCCUGGACAAAGACUGACGCUCAGGUGCGAAAGCGUGGGGAGCAAACAGGA